UACGAAGGGGGCGAGCGUUGUUCGGAUUUACUGGGCGUAAAGGGCGCGCAGGCGGCCGCAUUUGUCAGGCGUGAAAGCCCCGGGCUUAACCUGGGAACUGCGUUUGAUACGGUGUGGCUAGAGUUCGGGAGAGGAGAGUGGAAUUCCCAGUGUAGAGGUGAAAUUCGUAGAUAUUGGGAAGAACACCGGUGGCGAAGGCGGCGACCUGGGUAGAUACUGACGCUGAGGCGCGAAAGCGUGGGGAGCAAACAGG
rnacentral:rRNA from 1 species